UACGGAGGAGGCAAGCGUUAUCCGGAAUUAUUGGGCGUAAAGCGUCCGCAGGUGGCACUUCAAGUCUGUCGUCAAAGACUGGGGCUUAACCCUGGAAAGGCGGUGGAAACUGAAGCGCUAGAGUGCGGUAGGGGUAGAGGGAAUUCCCGGUGUAGCGGUGAAAUGCGUAGAUAUCCGGAGGAACACCAGUGGCGAAGGCGACUUUCUGGCCUGUUCUUGACGCUGAGGCGCGAAAGCUAGGGGAGCAAACGGG
rnacentral:rRNA from 1 species